GGCAGUAGGGACAAGCAAGAGAUGAGAGUAUAGCUCCCAAGUUCAAGAGCAAGAUCAAGAGAUUAGCCACUACAAACUUACCCAUUAUGAAGAGGAGAACCCAAAUAAUUAAAAAGGAGAAAAGAGUGAGAAAAAUGGAGAGAAAGAUGAGUUAGGGGAAGUAAUUUUCCU